UACGUAGGUCCCGAGCGUUAUCCGGAUUUAUUGGGCGUAAAGCGAGCGCAGGCGGUUAGAUAAGUCUGAAGUUAAAGGCUGUGGCUUAACCAUAGUACGCUUUGGAAACUGUUUAACUUGAGUGCAGAAGGGGAGAGUGGAAUUCCAUGUGUAGCGGUGAAAUGCGUAGAUAUAUGGAGGAACACCGGUGGCGAAAGCGGCUCUCUGGUCUGUAACUGACGCUGAGGCUCGAAAGCGUGGGGAGC
rnacentral:rRNA from 1 species